CUGUGGGCAGCUUUGACAACAAGCAGACGAAAGAGGAACUCCGUUGAGCCCAAUCUCAAACCAAAAGCCUACCUCCACCCCCUACCAGUGAAAUAUACCUCAGAACAAGAUCAAAACACCUGGAGUGGUCAGGUAGCCUGAUCCAUAAGCAGCAGGUUUAGAAGCGAUCAAUCAGCAGCCAUCCGAGUCAGAUAAACCUCAAGGCUGAGAUUGAAGGAAAUCAUGAGCUUCAGCGGACACGCAAAAGCAAACCUGCAAGUGAAGGCGGAGAUCACAGAGCCACACACCUAGUCCCUUGAGUUACAUACGGAAAGAGGCUGGUGAAAGAGGCUGGUGAGAGAAAUAUCGCGAGAGGAGCCAAGCCUCCCCUGCCUGGUCUGUCUUGCUGGCAUGCAGAGCUCAGAAACCGUCACCAAUGUGGUGGAGGCAUAAAUGGGGGACGAGGUGUCAAGAGUUUCCAAAGGCAAGAAGCGGGGAAAUGAGCCAUCACCUCACCCUGGCAACAUGGGGACAGGCCUCAUCACCACCGAGUAACAAGUCACAGUACAUGGACACCACCAGCUGUAAACCCUGUCCCAGUUCUUUCCCUCCAGAGCUCCAUCGUCCCCUUCUCCUGAUUACUCACCAUACAGGGUAGGGGUCAGAUGGACCAACAUGGCACCCAGCCCCCAUUUGCUUCCAGUUAGUGGGUAACAACUGGGAUUGCAAAGGUUUGGGUUUUUGUUUUUUGGUUUUUGUUUUUUUAAUUUUUGGUAUUUUGUUUUCUUCAUCUACUUGCUUGUGUCUGGGAAAGAACUUAUAUGCCUAAAGGGAAAACCCUAUGUGCAUAAUAUCUAUUUCUCCAUAAAGAACUAAAGUGUGUGACUUCUGGAGCCAGUUCCAUUUCCAUGUAUAUAGAAGGGCAGAGAUUAGUAACAGUGCUCAAACAUGCAUAUAGUCUGGUGCCAAGGUGAGGAUACCUAGAUUUAUAUUUCUUCAUUGGAGGUAUUAAUCUCAAUGCACGUUAAGUCACAUAAGGUAUUUCCUUGGCAAUAGCAAAUGAAAAAUACCUUUAAUGGUGUUUCACAAACUCUUAGUCCCACCAUUUAUAAAGAUCACAAGUUUAUAAACGGCUAAUAUUCCUAAUAAAUUGUCCUAUUAUAAGUAGUACAAAUGUGUGAAUCUUCAACACAUGAAAAGUGUUGGCUGUAAGAGUGUACAUAUUUUGCUCCAGACAUCACUGAAAUGAUAAUCCCAAAGGAUUAAUACACUCUCAAGGUAUUAGUAUGAUGGAUAUAAUGGUACUCAUAAAUAUUCUAUUUGUCCUACUUUUUACAGCCUCCUUAUAAUUAAACAGUGAAAAAUUAACCUUUACUAUGCUAAAAUGCUGAGAUUUGGGAGAUAUUUGUUACUGCAGCAUAGCAUAGCCUAUUCUGACUAAUAGAGAUGGUAAGCGUGGACUUCAGUCUUGAAUCUAAACAAAAAUCAACCUUUAAACUCUUAAAGAUUUUCAACCAUUUAAUUAAAGACUGAGUAGAAUAUAACCAGGAUUGGCAAACUUUUCCUAUGAAAAUAGGAAACCAGACAAUAACUAUUUUAGUUUUUCCACAAAUAAUCUCUGCCACAACUACUCAACUCUGACAUUAGACCUUACAACAAGCAACCAUAAUUCAUAAAGUAAUGAACCUGACUGUGUUCCAAUAAUACUGUCCUCAAAACGGGAACUGGGCACCAUUUGGUGCAUGUGCCAUAGGUCACUAAGCCCUGGUUCUUCUGUUAAAUGUAGAAAUGGUGAAUACUUGGUAUGUUACAUUCUCAGGACUCCAAUAACAAAGUGCCAUUGGAUGGAUCAAACACCAUGUGUUUUUUAUUCUCUCACAGUUCUGGAGGCCAGAAGUCCAAAUACAAGUUGUUAGCAGAGUUGUUUCCUUCUAAGGGUUCUGAAGGACAAGCUGUUCCAUGUCUCUAGUCUAGCUUCAGAUCAUUGCCAGCAAUCUUGGGCAUUCCUUGGCAUGCAGAGACAGUACUCCAAUCUCUGCCUCAUCCCCCCAUUGCCGUCUUCUCCUAUGUGUCUCCCUCUUCUCACAAGGAGACGAGUCACCACGUUGGCCAAACUUCCUGCAAUACAACUUCAUUUUAACUAGCUAGACUUGCAAUGACCUUAUUUCUAAAAUAAGGUCCCAUUCUGAGUACUAAGGGUCAGAGUUUCAACACAUCUUUUGGGGUACACAAUUCAACCUGUAACACUUGGAUAUUUCUCUUUAUCUCUAUCUCUAACUCUUCCCUCCCUUCCUCUCUUUUCAGUGCUGGAAAUGAAACCCAGGGACUCAGGUAUGCUAGGCAAGUGCUUUACCACUGAGCUACCACCCCAGUCCAAUACUUGACAUCUUAAAUAAUGCAGUUCACUUUGAAAACUAACAAUAAUACAAAAGAACUUAAAUAAGCUCAUAGACCUUGGCUUUUACUAAGAGAGAUCCACUUAUCAUUUCCUUGACAAGAUUGAAAUUUUAGGUAUCUAACAGAUCAGUUAAAAGAAAAACCAUGCUCAUAAUUAAAAUAAUAAAUAGAACUUUGUCGUGUACAUUUACCAUUCCGUAUUAUUGUUCAGCCUCUCACUUUUUCCACAUCAUUGAUUGAUGCUUUAGAUGACAAAAUUAGAUUUGAUUUACAUAUUUUAAGUUAUGUCUUGAGACUGUUAUUAAAGCCUGGAACUGAUGAAAUGAUUAUUCCUUAGAGUCUAAAUUCAGACAUCUAAAAUAAUUUAUGGAAUACAAAAACCAUAAUUUCCUUGACGGAUUUUGGAACCUUAAAAUAUGAGAAAGCAGAUGAUCAGUCAAAUAGGCGCUUUAGCCAGUAUGUACAACAAGAAGGGAGUACCAAGGCCUAAUGACAGGUCCUUCCAGGACGAGGAGGCACCUGAACUGGGCUCAGGAGGUACCAUGGCUGGGACAGACCAACCAGGGAAGAUCUGAUAUGAUCCAAGGCAGGAAAUGAUGUAUGUGCUUGUGGAGGAUCAGCCUGAUUUGAAACAGUAGGAUAAUGUAGCAGCAAAGCAGGAGUUAUCAUUGAGAGUGGUUAAAACUGAUGUGAAAUACCUUACUGUCAACCUGAAAAGAGCUCAGAUUGCAUUCAUGAACAGUGUUUUUCUGAGUAAAUAGCAUCAAAGCUGUGUGGUAUGAUAUACAAGACAAGUAAGGCAGUAAAUCAAUGAAAGAUUUUAACAGUAGUAGAUGUGUUACAAAAAAGAGGUGGUGGAUAGUGUAGUGUGGCAGGGUAGAGGGUAGAAUUAGAUCAUCGAGAAAGGAUCAAAAGAAUUUCAGUGGGUCUUGAUGAUUGAAUUAUGAGAGCAUCUUAGUUCAUUUGUGCUGCUAUAACAAAAUAUCUGAGGCUGUGUAAUUUAUUAAAAAAAAAAAGUCCAAUUACCUCAGAAUUUUGAAGGCUAAAAAUCCAAGAUAAAGCAGCCACAUCUGUUUGG